AGAAAACAAAUUAAAAUAAAUCCAUUCAGGACUAACACAUGACACAAAUAGGUAGGUAGGUAAAUGGUAUAAUUUAAACCACACGUGUCGCGAUAUAUUUUCGAGAGAAAAUUUGUGCUGCAGUCCUAAAAGGUUUGAGAAACAUUGGUAUAGUUGAAAGAAAACACGUUUUGAACAUUCUUGAUAUGUAGCAAAAUAAUCAAACCCGUGUUGUAAAUAAAUUGAAGCAUAACCAAGGGAGAAAACAAAUUAAAGUAAAUCCAUUCAGGACUAACACAUGACACAAUAAGGUAGGUAUUAUUGAACGGUGAUUAUUUUUAUUUUUUAAUUAUACCUAAUAUUGUAUACGAUCUACC